AGCAGCCGCGGUAAUUCCAGCUCCAAUAGCGUAUAUUAAAGUUGUUGCAGUUAAAAGCUCGUAGUUGAAUUUCGGGAUUGACACAUCGGUCGUGCCUUAAGGGGUAUGAACUGGUGUAGUCAAUUUCUCACCUUCUGGAGAACCGCGAUGCCCUUAAUUGGGUGUCGCGGGGAACCAGGACCUUUACUUUGAAAAAUUAGAGUGUUUAAAGCAGGCAUUUUGCUUGAAUACAUUAGCAUGGAAUAAUGAAAUAGGACGGCAUGAUUCUAUUUUGUUGGUUUCUAGGAUCACCGUAAUGAUUAAUAGGGAUAGUUGGGGGCAUUAGUAUUCAAUUGUCAGAGGUGAAAUUCUUGGAUUUAUUGAAGACUAACUACUGCGAAAGCAUUUGCCAAGGAUGUUUUCAUUAACCAAGAACGAAAGUUAGGGAUCGAAGACGAUCAGAUACCGUCGUAGUCUUAACCAUAAACUAUGCCGACUAGGAAUCAGACGAUGUUAAUUUUUAAUGUACUCGUUGGCACCU
rnacentral:misc_RNA from 1 species